rnacentral:rRNA from 1 species
UACGAAGGUCCCGAGCGUUAUCCGGAUUCAUUGGGUUUAAAGGGUGCGUAGGUGGAAUUAUAAGUCAGUGGUGAAAUCUUGCAGCUUAACUGUAAAACUGCCAUUGAUACUGUAGUUCUUGAGUAUAGUUGAUGUGGGCGGAAUAUGUCAUGUAGCGGUGAAAUGCUUAGAUAUGACAUAGAACACCGAUUGCGAAGGCAGCUCACAAAGCUACAACUGACACUGAGGCACGAAAGCGUGGGGAUCAAACAGGAUUAGAUACCCUGGUAGUCCACGCCCUAAACGAUGAUCACUCGCUGUUGGCGAUACACAGUCAGCGGCUAAGCGAAAGCGUUAAGUGAUCCACCUGGGGAGUACGACCGCAAGGUUGAA